GAUGAACGCUGCCGGCGCGCCCUAUAUAUGCCAGUCUAGCGAACAGACGCGGCGCUUUCUCCCUUGACGUUCGUCGCCGACGGGUGAGUACCCCGUGGAUCCCCUACCUUUAAGACUGGGAUCCCUUCGCGACCCCGGAGCUACUCCCCAAUAAUAUAUUGACCCUCAUGGUUCAAUAGUGAAAGACGGUUUUGCUGUCACUUAUAGACGUAUCCUCGCCGCAUUAGCUAGUUGGUAAGGUACCGGCUUACCAAGGCAACGAUGCGUAGCCGACCUGAGAGGGUGACCGGCCACACUGGAACUGAGACACGGUCCACACUCCUACGGGAGGCAGCAGUCGGAGAUCUUCCGCAAGGAGCGAAAGCCUGACGGAGCAACACCGGGUGUGUGAUGAAGGUGUUGGGAUCGUAAACCUCUGUUGUUAGGGGAGAACAAAUGUGUAAGUUAGUAUGCACGUCUUGACGGUACCUAAUCAGAAAGCCACGGCUAACUACAUG
rnacentral:rRNA from 1 species